AUACGUAGGUGACAAGCGUUAUCCGGAUUUACUGGGCGUAAAGGGCGUGUAGGCGGUCUUGCAAGUCAGAAGUGAAAUUCCUGAGCUCAACUCGGGCGCUGCUUCUGAAACUGUAUCCCUUGAGUAUCGGAGAGGCAGGGGGAACUCCUUGGGUAGCGGGGAAACGCGUAGAUAUUAGGAGGAACACCAGUGGCGAAGGCGGCCUGCUGGACGACAACUGACGCUGAGGCGCGAAAGCGUGGGGAGCAAACAGGAUUAGAUACCCUGGUAGUCCACGCUGUAAACGAUGAAUACUAGGUGUGGGAGGACUGACCCCUUCCGUGCCGCAGUUAACACAAUAAGUAUUCCACCUGGGGAGUACGAUCGCAAGAUUGAAACUCAAAGGAAUUGACGGGG
rnacentral:rRNA from 1 species